rnacentral:rRNA from 1 species
UACGUAGGGUGCAAGCGUUGUCCGGAAUUAUUGGGCGUAAAGAGCUCGUAGGCGGCUUGUCGCGUCGGCUGUGAAAACCUGGGGCUCAACCCCGGGCCUGCAGCCGAUACGGGCAAGCUAGAAUUCGGUAGGGGAGACUGGAAUUCCUGGUGUAGCGGUGAAAUGCGCAGAUAUCAGGAGGAACACCGGUGGCGAAGGCAGGUCUCUGGGCCACUACUGACGCUGAGAAGCGAAAGCGUGGGGAGCGAACAGG